rnacentral:tRNA from 1 species
UCGGGGCGUGGCGCAGCCUGGUUUAGCGCGUUUGACUGGGGGUCAAAAGGUCGCAGGUUCGAAUCCUGUCGCCCCGAU